rnacentral:rRNA from 1 species
AGAUGGCGACCGGCGCACGGGUGAGUAACACGUAUCCAACCUGCCGAUAACUCGGGGAUAGCCUUUCGAAAGAAAGAUUAAUAUCCGAUGGUAUAUUUUCUCCGCAUGGUGAGAAUAUUAAAGAAUUUCGGUUAUCGAUGGGGAUGCGUUCCAUUAGUUUGUUGGCGGGGUAACGGCCCACCAAGACCACGAUGGAUAGGGGUUCUGAGAGGAAGGUCCCCCACAUUGGAACUGAGACACGGUCCAA